rnacentral:tRNA from 1 species
UUCUUGAGGGCUCACUUUGUGGAGCAUGAGACUCUUGAUCUCAGAGUUGUGAGUUCAAGCCCCACUUUGGACA